UUUCAAAAUUGAGUAGCAAUUGGGAGGAUGGACUUGGCUAAGGCAAGAUGCACAUGGACAGGGACGUGGUGGAGCAGAUCCCUGUGCCAGAUUCCAACAUGGAGUUGACCUGGACAGGAAGGAAGAAGACCUGAGACGUGGCCCCUCUGAGUCAUAUUCUCCCAGCCCGGCUUCAUGAUUUCGUCUGAAGUAAACGCCUGGGGCGACAGAUAACCCUGCCCCACUAAGAGCCUGCUCUGACGUCUCCAGCCGCCAUUCUCCUCUUAGGCUCCCAGUAGCUGUCUCUGGACAAUGCAGACAACAUAUUUUUGGUGCUUGGUUACAAUAUAUUUUGGCAUUUUAUUAUGUGGUCUCUUGUCUGAUUUCUAGGUCUUCCGUGCGCCUGACUCUCGCCUCAUCAUGAGGUUAUAAACCUUGACCUGACGUCUGCUCUUAACAUACUCAUCUUUUAGGGACUUCGUAAAACCCAGGGCAGCACAGUAUGGUGUGUGAGAAAGACCCUAAACUUGGAGACAGAUAAAGUUCAUCAGAAUUCUACUCUCCCAUUUACUAGCCAUGGGACCUUAGCAAAUUAUUUUAAUUUCUGAGUCUUGGUUUUCUCAUCUCUAAAAGGGAAAUGAUUAUACACGUGUAAAAUGUCCGUCACAGGCUAAGCACCCAAUAAAUGGCUGUUCUCACAAAUGAGCCCAUGUCGUAUGACACCAUUUAGAUGAAAUUCUAGAACAGGCAAAACUAAUCUAUAGUGACAG
rnacentral:lncRNA from 1 species